rnacentral:rRNA from 1 species
AGAACGACUCUCGGCAACGGAUAUCUCGGCUCUCGCAUCGAUGAAGAACGUAGCGAAAUGCGAUACUUGGUGUGAAUUGCAGAAUCCCGUGAACCAUCGAGUCUUUGAACGCAAGUUGCGCCCGAGGCCAUCAGGCCGAGGGCACGUCUGCCUGGGCGUCACAC